AUUUUUACUUGGUUUGAAAAAAAAUAAAUGUCAAAUUGAUGUGAACAAUAGAUGCACCCAGAUUUUAUAUGAUGUUUGCUAUUCUGCUCCUACUGCUAAUAAUUCUGAUAAUGAAGCGUGUGGGUAAUAAUUCAGUGUUGCACUUAAAGUAUUUUUACGUCAAUCAUCAUGUAGAUCAACUAUGGCAUCGAGUCAAUCAUCAUCAUGUAUAGUUAAUGAUCUUGAAAUGGAGUUACUGAGUUGUUGGUGUGGUUUGAAAGCGCCAUUAAAGAUCUCCCACACUCACAAAAAUCCUGGAAGGAAAUUUUAUGCUUGUCCGAAUUAUGGAACGGAAGAAACAAGAUGUCAAUUCUUCAUUUGGGCAGAUAUACUUCAAUCAGUAGUCGGCUUGAAAAAUAUGACGAGAGAGAAUGAAAUUCGGAAGAUGGAGGAUGCUUUAUUGUUGCGUGAGUAUGAAGCUCAACAA